GUGUCAGCAGCCGCGGUAAGACGUAGGGCGCAAGCGUUGUCCGGAUUUAUUGGGCGUAAAGAGCUCGUAGGCGGCUUGUUGCGUCGUCCGUGAAAACCUGGGGCUCAACUUCAGGUCUGCGGACGAUACGGGCAGGCUGGAGUUCGGUAGGGGAGACUGGAAUUCCUGGUGUAGCGGUGAAAUGCGCAGAUAUCAGGAGGAACACCGGUGGCGAAGGCGGGUCUCUGGGCCGAUACUGACGCUGAGGAGCGAAAGCGUGGGGAGCGAACAGGAUUAGAAACCCCAGUAGUCC
rnacentral:rRNA from 1 species